AGGUUGACCUCGGAUCAGGUAGGGAUACCCGCUGAA
rnacentral:rRNA from 1 species